rnacentral:rRNA from 1 species
UUAAGCGACUAAGCGUACACGGUGGAUGCCCUGGCAGUCAGAGGCGAUGAAGGACGUGCUAAUCUGCGAUAAGCGUCGGUAAGGUGAUAUGAACCGUUAUAACCGGCGAUUUCCGAAUGGGGAAACCCAGUGUGAUUCGUCACACUAUCAUUAACUGAAUCCAUAGGUUAAUGAGGCGAACCGGGGGAACUGAAACAUCUAAGUACCCCGAGGAAAAGAAAUCAACCGAGAUUCCCCCAGUAGCGGCGAGCGAACGGGGAGCAGCCCAGAGCCUGAAUCAGUGUGUGUGUUAGUGGAAGCGUCUGGAAAGGCGCGCGAUACAGGGUGACAGCCCCGUACACAAAAAUGCACAUACUGUGAGCUCGAUGAGUAGGGCGGGACACGUGGUAUCCUGUCUGAAUAUGGGGGGACCAUCCUCCAAGGCUAAAUACUCCUGACUGACCGAUAGUGAACCAGUACCGUGAGGGAAAGGCGAAAAGAACCCCGGCGAGGGGAGUGAAAAAGAACCUGAAACCGUGUACGUACAAGCAGUGGGAGCACGCUUCGGCGUGUGACUGCGUACCUUUUGUAUAAUGGGUCAGCGACUUAUAUUCUGUAGCAAGGUUAACCGAAUAGGGGAGCCGAAGGGAAACCGAGUCUUAACUGGGCGUUAAGUUGCAGGGUAUAGACCCGAAACCCGGUGAUCUAGCCAUGGGCAGGUUGAAGGUUGGGUAACACUAACUGGAGGACCGAACCGACUAAUGUUGAAAAAUUAGCGGAUGACUUGUGGCUGGGGGUGAAAGGCCAAUCAAACCGGGAGAUAGCUGGUUCUCCCCGAAAGCUAUUUAGGUAGCGCCUCGUGAAUUCAUCUCCGGGGGUAGAGCACUGUUUCGGCAAGGGGGUCAUCCCGACUUACCAACCCGAUGCAAACUGCGAAUACCGGAGAAUGUUAUCACGGGAGACACACGGCGGGUGCUAACGUCCGUCGUGAAGAGGGAAACAACCCAGACCGCCAGCUAAGGUCCCAAAGUCAUGGUUAAGUGGGAAACGAUGUGGGAAGGCCCAGACAGCCAGGAUGUUGGCUUAGAAGCAGCCAUCAUUUAAAGAAAGCGUAAUAGCUCACUGGUCGAGUCGGCCUGCGCGGAAGAUGUAACGGGGCUAAACCAUGCACCGAAGCUGCGGCAGCGACACUAUGUGUUGUUGGGUAGGGGAGCGUUCUGUAAGCCUGUGAAGGUGUACUGUGAGGUAUGCUGGAGGUAUCAGAAGUGCGAAUGCUGACAUAAGUAACGAUAAAGCGGGUGAAAAGCCCGCUCGCCGGAAGACCAAGGGUUCCUGUCCAACGUUAAUCGGGGCAGGGUGAGUCGACCCCUAAGGCGAGGCCGAAAGGCGUAGUCGAUGGGAAACAGGUUAAUAUUCCUGUACUUGGUGUUACUGCGAAGGGGGGACGGAGAAGGCUAUGUUGGCCGGGCGACGGUUGUCCCGGUUUAAGCGUGUAGGCUGGUUUUCCAGGCAAAUCCGGAAAAUCAAGGCUGAGGCGUGAUGACGAGGCACUACGGUGCUGAAGCAACAAAUGCCCUGCUUCCAGGAAAAGCCUCUAAGCAUCAGGUAACAUCAAAUCGUACCCCAAACCGACACAGGUGGUCAGGUAGAGAAUACCAAGGCGCUUGAGAGAACUCGGGUGAAGGAACUAGGCAAAAUGGUGCCGUAACUUCGGGAGAAGGCACGCUGAUAUGUAGGUGAAGCGACUUGCUCGUGGAGCUGAAAUCAGUCGAAGAUACCAGCUGGCUGCAACUGUUUAUUAAAAACACAGCACUGUGCAAACACGAAAGUGGACGUAUACGGUGUGACGCCUGCCCGGUGCCGGAAGGUUAAUUGAUGGGGUUAGCGGUAACGCGAAGCUCUUGAUCGAAGCCCCGGUAAACGGCGGCCGUAACUAUAACGGUCCUAAGGUAGCGAAAUUCCUUGUCGGGU